rnacentral:lncRNA from 1 species
UCACUAAAGCCCUGGCGAUAAAGGAGUUCGACAAUCACAAGUCGAAGAUGGGUAUUAGAUACUGUGCCGAGUGGCUUUAGGACAAGUGGGAGUUGUUGAGAAAUGUGUCCCAAAAAGCCAAUCGUCAAGCUGUUGACGGUUGAGCAACCAAGUAUUGUAAUUGAUUUGUUAAUAAAUAAAAUAUAUUUGGCAUCUUCAUCAUAAGCUUUCAUCUUCUAAUGAACUCCGUUGUUAUGAUGAAGUCCUUAGGACUAUUUAGAUUCGAUAAAGAGAGGAUUUAUCGAUUAGUCCUUCAAACUGUUCACGACCAAAUGAUAGGCUGUUAAUAAGGACGACAGCUUCUAUCGAGCAUAGGUCGCUGUAGGCCAUAUGGGUUGGUUGUUCUCUUAACCAAAGAGUGUGGAGACACUGGUAUGGCAUACAGAUGAGAUGUAAGGGUACAUCAUCAUUGAACGUGACCAACUCCAGAGUAUUCUGCUGUCGAGAAUGUCUCUGAUGGGAUAUAGGCAUAAGUGUCCCUUAGACUUGAGAUCGCCUCAGUGACUUGCAAGCAACUCACUGUGCUUUGGUACUGGACUAACUGAAUUUUUAAUUCAGGGACAGAAGACUUCUGGACACAGUCAAGUACUUGCGAAGUCAGAGUGUGAUCGAAAUGGGAUUGACCACUCCAAGAGUUGGAGAAGAAUGAGUCGCUGUAUUUCAAUUUAGCAAAACCUUGGCCAGGGUAAUCCAUCAAAUGGAUUUGAUAUUUUGAAAUACAAUGUGGACAACCUAAUCAGAGUUAACAGUCGAACUCUGGGGUGUCCUAUGAUCAUUUUGGUCAAGGGGAUGAAUUAUAUGAAAACUAUAUCCGCAUGGGUUCUAAGGAUGUUGUUCUACACAUUCGACCUAUCCGGUCGUCGGGUACCAUUGCUAGAUGGUCACUUAGAUUGGUAUAGGAAUUUGUUCCUAUGCUACCGACUUAGGUUCGGACCUAUGAGGUCACACACAUUAGAGUUCAUGAUCUGAUCAGAUGGUUGAUCAACGAUUAAGAAUCGUUCUAGGGUUAAAUGAUCAAUACGAUUGACAUUUAACCCAGUGCAAGUGUUGCAGGAGGAUCGAUUAACAAUUCGAUUGCUAACUGGCUUAAUUUGAUUAAGCCAAUGGGCUGAGAUUA